UACGUAGGUCCCGAGCGUUGUCCGGAUUUAUUGGGCGUAAAGCGAGCGCAGGGGGUUUAAUAAGUCUGAUGUAAAAGGCCGUGGCUCAACCAUUGUGUGCUUUUGAAACUGUUAAACUUGAGUGCAGUAGGGGGGAGUGGAAUUCCAUGUGUAGCGGUGAAAUGCGUAGAUAUAUGGAGGAACACCGAUGGCGAAAGCGGCUCUCUGGUCUGUAACUGACGCUGAGGCUCGAAAGCGUGGGGAGCGAACAGG
rnacentral:rRNA from 1 species